rnacentral:rRNA from 1 species
UCUGGUUGAUCCUGCCAGUAGUUAUAUGCUUGUCUCAAAGAUUAAGCCAUGCAUGUCUAAGUACACACGAAUUAAAAGUGAAACCGCAAAAGGCUCAUUAUAUCAGUUAUGGUUCCUUAGAUCGUUAACAGUUACUUGGAUAACUGUGGUAAUUCUAGAGCUAAUACAUGCAAUUAAAACAUGAACCUUAUGGGACAUGUGCUUUUAUUAGGCUAAAACCAAGCGAUCGCAAGAUCGUUAUAUUGGUUGAACUCUAGAUAACAUGCAGAUCGUAUGGUCUUGUACCGACGACAGAUCUUUCAAAUGUCUGCCCUAUCAACUUUUGAUGGUAGUAUCUAGGACUACCAUGGUUGCAACGGGUAACGGGGAAUCAGGGUUCGAUUCCGGAGAGGGAGCCUGAGAAACGGCUACCACAUCUAAGGAAGGCAGCAGGCGCGUAAAUUACCCACUCCCAGCUCGGGGAGGUAGUGACGAAAAAUAACAAUACAGGACUCAUAUCCGAGGCCCUGUAAUUGGAAUGAGUACACUUUAAAUCCUUUAACAAGGACCAAUUGGAGGGCAAGUCUGGUGCCAGCAGCCGCGGUAAUUCCAGCUCCAAUAGCGUAUAUUAAAGUUGUUGCGGUUAAAACGUUCGUAGUUGAACUUGUGCUUCAUACGGGUAGUACAACUUACAAUUGUGGUUAGUACUAUACCUUUAUGUAUGUAAGCGUAUUACCGGUGGAGUUCUUAUAUGUGAUUAAAUACUUGUAUUUUUUCAUAUGUUCCUCCUAUUUAAAAACCUGCAUUAGUGCUCUUAAACGAGUGUUAUUGUGGGCCGGUACUAUUACUUUGAACAAAUUAGAGUGCUUAAAGCAGGCUUCAAAUGCCUGAAUAUUCUGUGCAUGGGAUAAUGAAAUAAGACUCUGUUCUGCUUUCAUUGGUUUUCAGAUCAAGAGGUAAUGAUUAAUAGAAGCAGUUUGGGGGCAUUAGUAUUACGACGCGAGAGGUGAAAUUCUUGGACCGUCGUAAGACUAACUUAAGCGAAAGCAUUUGCCAAAGAUGUUUUCAUUAAUCAAGAACGAAAGUUAGAGGUUCGAAGGCGAUCAGAUACCGCCCUAGUUCUAACCAUAAACGAUGCCAGCUAGCAAUUGGGUGUAGCUACUUUUAUGGCUCUCUCAGUCGCUUCCGGGAAACCAAAGCUUUUGGGCUCCGGGGGAAGUAUGGUUGCAAAGCUGAAACUUAAAGGAAUUGACGGAAGGGCACCACCAGGAGUGGAGCCUGCGGCUUAAUUUGACUCAACACGGGAAAACUUACCAGGUCCGAACAUAAGUGUGUAAGACAGAUUGAUAGCUCUUUCUCGAAUCUAUGGUGUGGUGGUGCAUGGCCGUUCUUAGUUCGUGGAGUGAUUUGUCUGGUUAAUUCCGAUAACGAACGAGACUCAAAUAUAUUAAAUAGAUAUCUUCAGGAUUAUGGUGCUGAAGCUUAUGUAGCCUUCAUUCAUGUUGGCAGUAAAAUGCUUAUUGUGUUUGAAUGUGUUUAUGUAAGUGGAGCCGUACCUGUUGGUUUGUCCCAUUAUAAGGACACUAGCUUCUUAAAUGGACAAAUUGCGUCUAGCAAUAAUGAGAUUGAGCAAUAACAGGUCUGUGAUGCCCUUAGAUGUCCUGGGCUGCACGCGCGCUACAAUGAAAGUAUCAACGUGUAUUUCCUAGACCGAGAGGUCCGGGUAAACCGCUGAACCACUUUCAUGCUUGGGAUUGUGAACUGAAACUGUUCACAUGAACUUGGAAUUCCCAGUAAGUGUGAGUCAUUAACUCGCAUUGAUUACGUCCCUGCCCUUUGUACACACCGCCCGUCGCUACUACCGAUUGAAUUAUUUAGUGAGGUCUCCGGACGUGAUCACUGUGACGCCUUGCGUGUUACGGUUGUUUCGCAAAAGUUGACCGAACUUGAUUAUUUAGAGGAAGUAAAAGUCGUAACAAGGUUUCCGUAGGUGAACCUGCGGAAG